CUUUCGAAGUGUGCUCGAGCGGCGAAUCGGUGAGUAAGGAGUGAGCAACCUGCCCUUGGCUUUGGGAUAACCCUCGGAAACGGGUUACAAUACCGGGUAUUCAAUGUCUGCGGCAUCGUGGGUGGUGGAAAGCUUUGGCGGCUGAGGAUGGGCUCGCGGCCUAUCAGCUUGUUGGUGGGGUGAUGGCCUACCAAGGCGACGACGGGUAGCCGGCCUGAGAGGGCGACCGGCCACACUGGGACUGAGACACGGCCCAGACUCCUACGGGAGGCAGCAGUGGG
rnacentral:rRNA from 1 species